rnacentral:tRNA from 1 species
UGGCUUAGUGGUUAAGCACUCAGCUGCUAACCGAAAGGUCAGUGGUUUGAACCCACU